GGGUACGACAUUUAGACGGUAGGGUUCGUCCAGACGACCCUAGGAACGGUAGCGCUCGUCGUGGCGGAGGGCUACAACAACAUACUGUCUAUAUUGGUCAAUAUAAACAAAGCAGUUCAAAAGUGUCAAUUCAGGUUUAUUGCAGGUUUAGUGUCGUUUCUUACAGUGUGUCAGGUAGAGAUUUGAUGAAAGAUUCUCUGACCAGGCAUCGAGCCAGAACCAAAGCCGAUAAAAGAAAAAAUUAUGCUCUACAACAGGAACCUAAACAUUCAUGGAACUUCUUGGCAGUAAUUUUGGCAGAGGCAGAGGCCGAGUUACCCAGUCUGAUGAAGUUGUAGCAGUUUCUAAUCAAGAAACUGCUAGUGAAAUAACUCCCAGUCUAAUGAAAGAAGUGGUGUACAGGAUAUCAUUCAUUCAGUCGCACUGGAAAAGACAUCAUUGAAGCAAGCAUUUCACAAUUUCACAAGAAGAAAAAGGAACUAAUCAAGAAAGCGAGUGGAAAACUUGCAUGAAAGACAAGGAAGAUGCUUGGGAUUCCAAGAGAGAUGCUGUCUUUCAAAACUACAUUAGCUCCCGUUCCUACAGUGCAAGUAAAUGUGGUGUAUGUGAAAAAGUCACUAAUCCUGUUUGUUGCUUUACUUGCAAGCAAGAUUUCUGCAGCAAAUGUGAUAUGAUCACUCACCGCAAACUGUUGGUACUACACAAUAGGGAGGUGUGUGAGAAUGGCGAAAAUUUAAAAUUCUUGCGCCAAAACGAGUUCAUAUCUGAAGAUGGGUACAUCACUGUUGAAGUGUCCCUUCCUGAAUGCAAAAGCCCUCAUUCGUGUACUACGAAACCUGGUUCAAGAGACGUAACCGUAGUUACAGCCAAUGGUAAAUGAGGGCAACUUCACGGAGGACAACCGAUUACCUGGAUUACAUCGACGAAGACACAAACAAUUAUCAAGACUACGCUGAUGAAGAAAAUGAUGACAUCAAUUGUUAUCCAUCGUUUAAAACGCUCACAUAUAUUUAUGCAAAUCUUGUAAUUACAUUUGAAAUAGAGCUAUUGUUUGAAGGGAAUAAAAGUAUUAUUACGA
rnacentral:lncRNA from 1 species